rnacentral:rRNA from 1 species
GAUGAACGCUGGCGGCGUGCCUAAUACAUGCAAGUCGAGCGAACAGACGAGGAGCUUGCUCCUCUGACGUUAGCGGCGGACGGGUGAGUAACACGUGGAUAACCUACCUAUAAGACUGGGAUAACUUCGGGAAACCGGAGCUAAUACCGUAUAAUAUAUUGAACCGCAUGGUUCAAUAGUGAAAGACGGUGUUGCUGUCACUUAUAGAUGGAUCCGCGCCGCAUGAGCUAGUUGGUAAGGUAACGGCUUACCAAGGCAACUAUGCGUAGCCGACCUGAGAGCGUCACCGACCGCGUGGGGACUGAGAGACGGGCCAGAAUCCGACGGGAGUCAGCAGUGGGGAAUAGACCACAAUGUACGGAAGCCUGAUGCAGCAACGCCGCUUGCUGGAUGACUGCCUUCGGGUUAUAAACCGCAGUCGCCUGAGACGAAGCGUCAGUGACGGUAAGUGGUAAAGAAGCACCGGCUAACUACGUG